UCUUCGAUGGUCUAGUGGUCAUGAUUUCCGCUUGUCAGCCUCUGGUAACAAGCGCGGGAGACCGGGGUUCGAUUCCCCGUCGGAGAG
rnacentral:tRNA from 1 species